AGUGAACGCUGGCGGUAUGCCUAACACAUGCAAGUCGAACGGCAGCACAGUAAGAGCUUGCUCUUACGGGUGGCGAGUGGCGGACGGGUGAGGAAUACAUCGGAAUCUACUUUUUCGUGGGGGAUAACGUAGGGAAACUUACGCUAAUACCGCAUACGACCUACGGGUGAAAUCAGGGGAUCUUCGGACCUUGCGCGAUUGAAUGAGCCGAUGUCGGAUUAGCUAGUUGGCGGGGUAAAGGCCCACCAAGGCGACGAUCCGUAGCUGGUCUGAGAGGGUGAUCAGCCACACUGGAACUGAGACACGGUCCAGACUCCUACGGGAGGCAGCAGUGGGGAAUAUUGGACAAUGGGCGCGAGCCUGAUCCAGCCAUACCGCGUGGGUGAAGAAGGCGUUCGGGUUGUAAAGCCCUUUUGUUGGGAAAGAAAAGCAGCAGGUUAAUACCCCGCUGUUCUGACGGUACCCAAAGAAUAAGCACCGACUAACUUCGUG
rnacentral:rRNA from 1 species